rnacentral:rRNA from 1 species
AUUGAACGCUGGCGGCAGGCCUAACACAUGCAAGUCGAACGAGUGGCGGACGGGUGAGUAAUGUCUGUGAAACUGCCUGAUGGAUGGGGAUAACUAAUGGAAACGGUAGCUAAUACCGCAUACCAUCAGAUGUGCCCAGAUAGGAAUAGCUUGUUGGUGGGGUAACGGCUCACAAAGGCGACGAUCCCUAGCUGGUCUGAGAGGAUGACCAGUCACACUGGAACUGAGACACGGUCCAGACUCCGACGGGAGGCAGCAGUGGGGAAUAUUGCACAAUGGGCGCAAGCCUGAUGCAGCCAUGCCGCGUGUAUGAAGAAGGCCUUCGGGUUGUAAAGUACUUUCAGCGGGGAGGCGUUACCCGCAGAAGAAGCACCGGCUAACUCCGUGCCAGCAGCCGCGGUAAUUC